GAUGAACGCUGGCGGCGUGCCUAAUACAUGCAAGUCGAGCGAACAGACGCGGAGCUUGCUCCUCUGACGUUAGCGGCGGACGGGUGAGUAACACGUGGAUAACCUACCUAUAAGACUGGGAUAACUUCGGGAAACCGGAGCUAAUACCGGAUAAUAUAUUGAACCGCAUGGUUCAAUAGUGAAAGACGGUUUUGCUGUCACUUAUAGAUGGAUCCGCGCCGCAUUAGCUAGUUGGUAAGGUAACGGCUUACCAAGGCGACGAUGCGUAGCCGACCUGAGAGGGUGAUCGGCCACACUGGAACGGAGACACGGUCCAGACUCCUACGGGAGGCAGCAGUAGGGAAUCUGCCGCAAUGGUCGAAAGCCUGACGGAGCAACGCCGCGUGAGUGAUGAAGGUCUUCGGAUCGUAAAACUCUGUUAUUAGGGAAGAACAAAUGUGUAAGUAACUAUGCACGUCUUGACGGUACCUAAUCAGAAAGCCACGGCUAACUACGUG
rnacentral:rRNA from 1 species